CGGAGCCCCGUGUCCCGUCCCCCGUCCCCCCCCCAGCCCGGGGCGGCGGCGCCUUUAAGGCUGGGCCGGGCGCCAACUGCCUCCGCCCGCGGGCAGCGCCGGGCGGGCCGGGCCCCGCCGUAGCCUGGUAACCGCCGCUCGGCGGGCGGAGGGCGGCCCCGGCAGCGCCGCGGUCAGGUGGCAGCCCCAGAGACGGAGCCCGGCGGCCGCCCGAUAAAAGUCCUGCCCCGCCGCCCUCCCGCCCGCCACCCAGCGCGGAGCCGCCGAGGAGCCAUGCGCAGCGUCGGACACGGUCUGUGAGCCAUCCCAGCGCCAGCAGCCCACGGGGUCCAGGUGCCAGUCGGUGAUUCGGAGCGGGACAAGUUUGUUACCGAGUUGACUAAGCGGAGGAAGCUCUCGCUGUCCUACUGCCACCACCGGCGCAGACAAUCCUUCCCUUGGCUGAAGAUCCCGUUGGAUCCCUUCCCAUAAUGGAAG
rnacentral:lncRNA from 1 species